UGACAGUCCUGCAUUACCAUAGUUUUCGCCCUCCGCCAGCUGUAUGCUGUCCGCCAUUUUCUCCGUGCUCGAGCAGCUGUAGCGACAACAAUGUCUGUUUAUUUUUCUUCCCAUCUGGAUCCAUAUGGAAAGUUUGAUGGAUAUCAAAUGGAGCUCUCUGUGUCACAUUCCAUAUGCUGCAGCAAACUUAAAGGUAUCAGUACUUCACCUUUGAGGAGGGCUGCUGUGCUUUGGUCUGUCUUCUCUUAGACAGUGCUGUCUGGCUGGCUGGCUGUCAGUGCGCUGUGUUCCAGAGAAUGAUUGCACUUGGUUCUCAAACAGACUAUGCUGCAGCACUCCAUCAGCUACACCAUCUGACACAUGAACAGGUUUUCAUCUGCUUGCUGUAAACUUUCUUUGAUGCAUUUUAUAACCCCCUUUGCUGCUCACACAGAAUACCUUCCUUUCCUGCAAAAGACCAUUAGAAGAAUUAUUUUUAGUAGCACCUCUAGACCCAUCACCCAAAUCAAAUCAUCAAAGAGAAAAACGACAUCCACCCAGAAUGAUGCAGGUCUGAUCACCUCCCCGCAUUGUGUAAUUUGCAUAUAUCAACCAACUCAUGUCUUUUUAAUUUAAACUUUGAGGUGUUUGUGACCUUUACCAUUAACAACAUACUGUAUAUCAGAGAGGUUUUUGGGGGGUUUUUUUUUUAGUAUAAAUUCAGUGGGUCUAUUCUGUUUCAGCAAUGACAACACUCCCAUCAGGUGGGUGUAAUGCUGUAAUACAUCAUCAAACUCAGAGAUGAAAAUAUGAACAGCCAGGCAAAGUUAUAGAAUGAGCUACAUAAAAAUAUUGUCACAAAAGCUGCAAUUAUGUCUGAUGUAGUCAGGGAUAGUUCACCAACAAUCAUGAUAUUUUAGACAUCAUAACAUCCUUCUGCAAAUAUAAACUGUAGUGGCCAAAAGUGAUGUCCGACCUAGAAAAAUUGGUUCUUCGCACUUUAUUCAAACUUUUAAUUAAACAUUUAUUAAAUAUAUUGUAUGCAUGUUGUGAAGUUGUGCCUAAAGUGUAAAACACUUGUUUCAAUUGUAUCAUUUGUCUUGAUGUAGUGAAACAUAAUGAAUUGUGUCAUACUA